rnacentral:rRNA from 1 species
UACGUAGGGGCUAGCGUUAUCCGGAAUUACUGGGCGUAAAGGGUGCGUAGGUGGUUUCUUAAGUCAGAGGUGAAAGGCUACGGCUCAACCGUAGUAAGCCUUUGAAACUGGGAAACUUGAGUGCAGGAGAGGAGAGUGGAAUUCCUAGUGUAGCGGUGAAAUGCGUAGAUAUUAGGAGGAACACCAGUGGCGAAGGCGGCUUUCUGGACUGAUACUGACGCUGAGGAACGAAAGCGUGGGGAGCAAACAGGAUUAGAUACCCCGGUAGUCCCUGAGCGGGCU